rnacentral:tRNA from 2 species
AAAGUAUUAGUUUAUAUUAGAAUAAAGAAUUGUAAAUUCUUUGGAUUUUACUUUG